rnacentral:rRNA from 1 species
GACGAACGCUGGCGGCGUGCUUAACACAUGCAAGUCGAACGAUGAAGCCGGAGCUUGCUCUGGUGAAUUAGUGGCGAACGGGUGAGUAACACGUGAGUAACCUGCCCUUGACUCUGGGAUAACUGCGGGAAACUGUAGCUAAUACCGGAUACGACCCUCGGAGGCAUCUCCUGGGGGUGGAAAGAAUUUCGGUCAAGGAUGGACUCGCGGCCUUUCAGCUAGUUGGUGAGGUAAAGGCUCACCAAGGCGACGACGGGUAGCCGGCCGGAGAGGGUGACCGGCCACACUGGGACUGAGACACGGCCCAGACUCCUACGGGAGGCAGCAGUGGGGAAUAUUGCACAAUGGGCGCAAGCCUGAUGCAGCAACGCCGCGUGAGGGAUGACGGCCUUCGGGUUGUAAACCUCUUUUAGUAGGGAAGAAGCGAAAGUGACGGUACCUGCAGAAAAAGCACCGGCUAACUACGUGCCAGCAGCCGCCGUAA